CUUCCGGAUGCGAGAACCAAAUGGCGCCGUCUCUGGCAGAGAUAACAAUGACACAGUUUUAAAGUCCAGAAAGAUCAACUUUGUGUACUAGAUUUGUCUGCCGGGUCAAAUACAGGGACGUUGGAUGCUGCAUUAUCUAUACUAGGAGAUAUACAUAUAUCUAAAUAUUCCGGUCGAUCGACCAAACGAGGCAGCAGCCUCAGCUAAUUCAUUGACGGCAAGCUGAAGUUUCUGCUGGAUGUGUCCAAGAAGGUGCAAUCGUCCUCACACAGCAGUUCAACAGCAAUUGUCUCUUUAAUUUCAGAGAGAUUAAGCGCCGCAUGCUGAAUUAGCUGCCUUUGGUGUGGAACUUGAUGUAGAUGCCCUCAUUUGGCGUCCCUCAUUUUAUUUAGCAUUAUAAAAAAUAAAGGCCAUAGACGCAUGUGAAUGUG
rnacentral:sRNA from 1 species